rnacentral:rRNA from 1 species
GACGUAGGGCGCGAGCGUUGUCCGGAUUUACUGGGCGUAAAGGGCGCGUAGGCGGCCAUUCAAGUUAGGUGUGAAAGCCCUGGGCUCAACCUAGGAAUUGCACUUGAUACUGUUUGGCUUGAGUUCGGGAGAGGUGAGUGGAAUUCCCAGUGUAGAGGUGAAAUUCGUAGAUAUUGGGAAGAACACCAGUGGCGAAGGCGGCUCACUGGACCGACACUGACGCUGAGGCGCGAAAGCGUGGGGAGCAAACAGG